CCCCAGCAUCAGGAACGACCGCUCGCACCAAACGAGCGGUCGGCCAACCUGGCCCGGAAGGCCAAGGUGGUUUCCUCGGACGGUGUUCGUCCGGGGGAUGCGCGCGGGGCAGGAGCCCUGGCGAACGAAGCUUCCGGCGC
rnacentral:ncRNA from 1 species